rnacentral:rRNA from 1 species
GACGAACGCUGGCGGCGUGCUUAACACAUGCAAGUCGAACGGAAAGGCCCUGCUUGCAUGGUACUCGAGUGGCGAACGGGUGAGUAACACGUGGGUGAUCUGCCCUGCACUUCGGGGUAAACCUGGGGAACUGGGUCUAAUACCGGGUAGGAGCCAUUCUGCGUGUGGUGGUUGGAAGGUUUUUUCGGUUUGGGAUGGACUCGCGGCCUAUCAGCUUGUUGGUGGGGUAAUGGCUUACCAAGGCAGCGACGGGUAGCCGGCCUGAGAGGGUGACCGGCCCCAUUGGGACUGAGAUACGGCCCGGACUCCACCGGGAGGCAGCAGUGGGGAUUUUUCACCAUGGGGGGAAGCCCGAUGGAGGGAAGCCGGGUUGGGGAUUAACGGCUUCGGGUUUUAAACCCGUUUCCCCAGGGACGAAGCUGUUUGUGACGGUAAUUAGAUAAGAAGCACCGGCUAACUACGUG